UGAGAGUUGACCACUGUGAAAAGUGCUAUGUAAAUAAAGAUUUAUUUAGUUAUUUACUUACUUUGUUUACAAGCCUUCCCGCUCUCUUACAACCCUUCACACCCCAAACCUAACAUUACCGGUGCAACAAAAGUGCCGAACAAUAUCGGAGCCGUGCAGCUUUGAGUCAGAUUCCAGCUCAGAUAAGGAAAACAAAGAUGUACAUGUAACUGUGUUUUUUUUUGUUUUUUUUUUUAAAUUAUUUUUCUAUUUAUUUCUGGACCCUUUUUGUGUACGCCGUGAAUGGAAUUUCCAACGCAUUUAAACUCAUCACGGAUGUCAUCAUGUGAAAAUGAGCAACAGGUGCGGUCCGGCUGCACCUGGCAACUUUAAAAGGAAGCACACAGGAGAGACACAACAGGCAAGAAACUCAAAGGGCCAGAGGAAGAAGAGACCCGGGUGGGGGUCCCCACGUCUCCUGGAGCCAUGCUGCCCUGGGAGCGGGUUGGCCACCGUCCCUCCCUAGAAGACGUGAGCUGCUAGCCCCUCAACAUGCCUCACCGGAUGGGUGACAGGGAGGACGCACCUGCAGCUUGGAGCCAAGGAAGGGGAGAGUCAACUGGAGAGGCAGAGGGGUGUGGUUGUGACCCCCUCUUAGAGCCAAGUACCCUUUCCUUGUCCUUCCCUAAAUUGAGUUCUAAAGCACCUGGUUUUUCUUUUAUGGACUCAAACUCCUCCCAGUGGACAGCCAUGAACUCGAAUGGAGGAGGGGUUUUUAAAGACUCCACCCCUGGAUCAAAUAAACUGUUGUCCAUCUGCUGCACAA